GUAAGUUCUCACAGAAGCUGUGCUUUGAUUUCUGUGCAUUUAUUUGCAUAGUGUGUAUAACCAGUCUGAACAAUGGUGGAAAGAUAGCAUGGACGAGGAUCAUGUACGUCACUGCACAUAAUUUUACUAAUUAUAUUUACUGUCUGCUGGAUAUAAAAUCCUCUGAAGUGUAUCAAAAGCUGCUCUAGGGGACUACACUGAACAACUGAAACAACUGCUUGCCAAGGGAACCAUUAACACUUCCAACUGUUGAGUCACUUGGAAAUUUCCUUUCCACUUUCUGCUCACCAAUUGUUUAAUGAAAAAGGGACCAUCAAACUCAGACAGCCAGCAGAUCAAACAGAAGGAUCCCUGGAACUGCUGCUACUCUACAGAAAUUGAAAACAGGAUCUCUUCCAGAUUCUCCUCCAUCUGGAUGGGCAGACUACACACAAUGUAAAAUGAGAAUAAAGGGUCGCUUUAUUACACUGAAUAAUUCUGAACAUAUGGUUAGAGGUGUAUUUCAUUCAGUUACAUUGUGUCAUUCAAGAGAAAAAAAAAAAACAGAUUCAGUUUGCAGGUUUUUUUGAGCUGCCAAGGACAUUCCAUGAGCAAGGAGCUCACUGCUUCUUUUUAAACAAGUAGAUAUAAUAAUUGCAGUUCUCUGAAAAAGCAUUAGCUGAAAUAUCA